rnacentral:rRNA from 1 species
UUUUAUUUGAGAGUUUGAUCCUGGCUCAGGAUGAACGCUGGCGGCGUGCCUAACACAUGCAAGUCGAGCGAUCUUCUUCGGAAGAGAGCGGCGGACGGGUGAGUAACGCGUGGGUAACCUGCCCUGUACACACGGAUAACAUACCGAAAGGUAUGCUAAUACGGGAUAACAUACUUUUAUCGCAUGGUAGA